AUAGGGAGAGGUUAUAUGGAGUAAUAGGAGGAGUUAUAUGGAGAGGUUAUAUGGAGUAAUAGGAGGAGUUAUAGGGAGAGGUUAUAUGGAGUAAUAGGAGGAGUUAUAGGGAGAGGUUAUAUGGAGUAAUAGGAGGAGUUAUAGGGAGAGGUUAUAUAGAGUAAUAGGAGGAGUUAUAGGGAGAGGUUAUAUGGAGUAAUAGGAGGAGUUAUAG